AACGAACGCUGGCGGCAGGCCUAACACAUGCAAGUCGAGCGAAGCCUUCGGGCUUAGCGGCGGACGGGUGAGUAACGCGUGGGAACGUGCCCUUUGGUACGGAAUAGCCCCGGGAAACUGGGAGUAAUACCGUAUGUGGUCGAGAGACGAAAGAUUUAUCGCCAAAGGAUCGGCCCGCGUUGGAUUAGGUAGUUGGUGGGGUAAUGGCCUACCAAGCCGACGAUCCAUAGCUGGGGUGAGAGGAUGAUCAGCCACACUGGGACUGAGACACGGCCCAGACUCCGACGGGAGGCAGCAGUGGGGAAUCUUAGACAAUGGGGGAAACCCUGAUCUAGCCAUGCCGCGUGAUCGAUGAAGGCCUUAGGGUUGUAAAGAUCUUUCAGUGGGGAAGAUAAUGACUGUACCCACAGAAGAAGCCCCGGCUAACUCCGUGCCAGCAGCCGCCGUAAGAC
rnacentral:rRNA from 1 species